UACGUAGGGUGCGAGCGUUGUCCGGAAUUAUUGGGCGUAAAGAGCUUGUAGGCGGUCUGUCGCGUCUGCUGUGAAAAUCCGGGGCUCAACCCCGGACUUGCAGUGGGUACGGGCAGACUAGAGUGUGGUAGGGGAGACUGGAAUUCCUGGUGUAGCGGUGAAAUGCGUAGAUAUUGGGAAGAACACCUGAGGCGAAGGCGGGUUGCUGGGCUGACACUGACGCUGAGGCGCGAAAGCCAGGGGAGCGAACGGG
rnacentral:rRNA from 1 species